UACGUAGGUGGCAAGCGUUGUCCGGAAUUAUUGGGCGUAAAGCGCGCGCAGGUGGUUUCUUAAGUCUGAUGUGAAAGCCCACGGCUCAACCGUGGAGGGUCAUUGGAAACUGGGGAACUUGAGUGCAGGAGAGAAGAGUGGGAUUCCACGUGUAGCGGUGAAAUGCGUAGAGAUGUGGAGGAACACCAGUGGCGAAGGCGACUCUUUGGCCUGUAACUGACACUGAGGCGCGAAAGCGUGGGGAGCAAACAGG
rnacentral:rRNA from 1 species